rnacentral:rRNA from 1 species
UACAGAGGUCCCAAGCGUUGUUCGGAUUCACUGGGCGUAAAGGGUGCGUAGGCGGUUGGAUAAGCCUGACGUGAAAUCUCCGAGCCUAACUCGGAAACUGCGUCGGAAACUAUCUGACUAGAGGAAUGGAGGGGAGACUGGAAUUCUCGGUGUAGCAGUGAAAUGCGUAGAUAUCGAGAGGAACACCAGUGGCGAAGGCGAGUCUCUGGACAUUUCCUGACGCUGAGGCACGAAAGCCAGGGGAGCAAACGGG